rnacentral:misc_RNA from 1 species
UUAAGUUCAGCGGGUAUCCCUACCUGAUUCGAGGUCAAAAUGGGGGUGAUCUUGAUGGACGCAAGCCCGACGGAUCCUCAAGGAGCGCAAAGUGCUGCGCAAGAGGCCGGCAAGCCGCUGCCAAUUAUUUUGGGGCGAGUCCGCGUUAGUUACGCAGACAAACGCCCAACACCAAGCAGUGCUUGAGGGGUUAAAUGACG